GAUGAACGCUGGCGGCGUGCCUAAUACAUGCAAGUCGAGCGAACAGAUGAGGAGCUUGCUCCUCUGACGUUAGCGGCGGACGGGUGAGUAACACAUGGAUAAACUACCUAUUAGACUGGGAUAACUUCGGGAAAACGGAGCUAAUACCGGCUAAUAUAUUGCACCGCAUGGUUCAAUAGUGAAAGACGGUUUUGCUGUCAAUUAUAGAUGGAUCCGCGCCGCAUUAGCUAGUUGGUAAGGUAACGGCUUACCAAGGCAACGAUGCGUAGCCGACCUGAGAGGGUGUUCGGCCACACAGGAACUGAGACACGGUCCAGACUCCUACUGGAGCCAGCAGUAGACACUCUUCUGUAAUGGUCGAGAGUUUGACGCAGGAACGGCGCGGGCGUGAAGAAAGUGUGCGAGCUGGUAAAAGGUAUUACUAGGGAAGAAAAAAUAUGGAAUUAAGUGUUGUUAGAUUGACGGUACCUAGUAAGAAUGCCACGGAUGACUUUGGG
rnacentral:rRNA from 1 species